rnacentral:rRNA from 1 species
GUGAACGCUGGCGGUAGGCCUAACACAUGCAAGUCGAACGGCAGCACAGUAAGCGCUUGCUCUUACGGGUGGCGAGUGGCGGACGGGUGAGGAAUACGUCGGAAUCUACUUUUUCGUGGGGGAUAACGUAGGGAAACUUACGCUAAUACCGCAUACGACCUACGGGUGAAAGCAGGGGAUCUUCGGACCUUGCGCGAUUGAAUGAGCCGAUGUCGGAUUAGCUAGUUGGCGGGGUAAAGGCCCACCAAGGCGACGAUCCGUAGCUGGUCUGAGAGGAUGAUCAGCCACACUGGAACUGAGACACGGUCCAGACUCCUACGGGAGGCAGCAGUGGGGAAUAUUGGACAAUGGGCGCAAGCCUGAUCCAGCCAUACCGCGUGGGUGAAGAAGGCCUUCGGGUUGUAAAGCCCUUUUGUUGGGAAAGAAAAGCAGCAGGUUAAUACCCCGCUGUUCUGACGGUACCCAAAGAAUAAGCACCGGCUAACUUCGUG